rnacentral:rRNA from 1 species
AUUGAACGCUGGCGGCAGGCUUAACACAUGCAAGUCGAACGAGUGGCGGACGGGUGAGUAAUGCUUGGGAAUCUGCCUUAUUGAGGGGGAUAACGACGGGAAACUGUCGCUAAUACCGCGUACCAUAGGAUGAGCCCAGGUGGGAUUAGGUAGUUGGUGGGGUAAGGGACUACCAAGCCGACGAUCUCUAGCUGGUCUGGGAGGAUGACCAGCCACACCGGGACUGAGACGCGGCCCGGACUCCUACGGGAGGCAGCAGUGGGGAAUAUUGCGCAAUGGGGGCAACCUGACGCAGCCAUGCCGCGUGGAUGAAGAAGGCCUGCGGGUUGUAAAGUUAUUUCGGUGACGAGGCGUUAAUCACAGAAGAAGCACCGGCUAACUCCGUGCCAGCCGCCGCGGUAAUUC